UACAGAGGGGGUAAGCGUUGUUCGGAAUUACUGGGCGUAAAGGGCUCGUAGGUGGCCAACUAAGUCAGACGUGAAAUCCCUCGGCUUAACCGGGGAACUGCGUCUGAUACUGGAUGGCUUGAGUUCGGGAGAGGGAUGCGGAAUUCCAGGUGUAGCGGUGAAAUGCGUAGAUAUCUGGAGGAACACCGGUGGCGAAGGCGGCAUCCUGGACCGGCACUGACACUGAGGAGCGAAAGCCAGGGGAGCAAACGGG
rnacentral:rRNA from 1 species